AUUUUGGACAAUGGGCGAAAGCCUGAUCCAGCCAUGCCGCGUGAGUGAAGAAGGCCUUCGGGUUGUAAAGCUCUUUCGGUCGGGAAGAAAUAGUUGUGGCUAAUAUCUACAAUGAAUGACGGUACCGACAUAAGAAGCACCGGCUAACUACGUGCCAGCAGCCGCGGUAAUACGUAGGGUGCAAGCGUUAAUCGGAAUUAUUGGGCGUAAAGGGUGCGCAGGCGGUUAUAUAAGUCAGAUGUGAAAUCCCUGGGCUUAACCUAGGAAUUGCGUUUGAAACUAUAUAACUAGAGUGUGACAGAGGGGAGUGGAAUUCCAUGUGUAGCAGUGAAAUGCGUAGAGAUGUGGAAGAACACCGAUGGCGAAGGCAGCUCCCUGGGUUAACACUGACGCUCAGGCACGAAAGCGUGGGGAGCAAACAGG
rnacentral:rRNA from 1 species